CAGCAGCCGCGGUAAUACGAAGGGGGCUAGCGUUGCUCGGAAUUACUGGGCGUAAAGGGAGCGUAGGCGGACUGUUUAGUCAGAGGUGAUAGCCCAGGGCUCAACCUUGGAAUUGCCUUUGAUACUGGCAGUCUUGAGUACGGAAGAGGUAUGUGGAACUCCGAGUGUAGAGGUGAAAUUCGUAGAUAUUCGGAAGAACACCAGUGGCGAAGGCGACAUACUGGUCCGUUACUGACGCUGAGGCUCGAAAGCGUGGGGAGCAAACAGGAUUAGAUACCCCCGUAGUCCCUGUCUCUUAUAC
rnacentral:rRNA from 1 species